CACAGAUUCAUAGAUUCAUAGACUCUAGGAUUGGAAGGGACCUCAAGAGGUCAUUGAGUCCAGGUCGCUGCCCUCAUGGCAUGAACAAAGCAGGUUCUGA